rnacentral:rRNA from 1 species
UCAGGAUGAACGCUAGCUACAGGCUUAACACAUGCAAGUCGAGGGGAACGAUAGAGAAAGCUUGCUUUUUCUAGGCGUCGACCGGCGCACGGGUGAGUAACGCGUAUCCAACCUGCCCAUCACUUGGGGAUAACCUUGCGAAAGUAAGACUAAUACCCAAUGACGUCUCUAGAAGACAUCUGAAGGAGAUUAAAGAUUUAUCGGUGAUGGAUGGGGAUGCGUCUGAUUAGCUUGUUGGCGGGGUAACGGCCCAUCAAGGCGACGAUCAGUAGGGGUUCUGAGAGGAAGGCCCCCCACAUUGGAACUGAGACACGGUCCAAACUCCUACGGGAGGCAGCAGUGAGGAAUAUUGGUCAAUGGACGAGAGUCUGAACCAGCCAAGUAGCGUGCAGGAUGACGGCCCUAUGGGUUGUAAACUGCUUUUAUAAGGGAAUAAAGUGGGAGUCGUGACUCUUUUUGCAUGUACCUUAUGAAUAAGGACCGGCUAAUUCCGUG